UGGGGAAUAUUGCACAAUGGGCGGAAGCCUGAUGCAGCGACGCCGCGUGGGGGAUGAAGGCCUUCGGGUUGUAAACUCCUUUCGACAGGGACGAAGCUUUUGUGACGGUACCAAUAUAAGAAGCACCGGCUAACUACGUGCCAGCAGCUGCGGUAAUACGUAGGGUGCGAGCGUUGUCCGGAAUUACUGGGCGUAAAGAGCUCGUAGGUGGUUUGUCGCGUCGUCUGUGAAAUUCCGGGGCUUAACUCCGGGCGUGCAGGCGAUACGGGCUGACUUGAGUGCUGUAGGGGAGACUGGAAUUCCUGGUGUAGCGGUGAAAUGCGCAGAUAUCAGGAGGAACACCGAUGGCGAAGGCAGGUCUCUGGGCAGUAACUGUCGCUGAGGAGCGAAAGCAUGGGUAGCGAACAGG
rnacentral:rRNA from 1 species